rnacentral:rRNA from 1 species
AUUGAACGCUGGCGGCAUGCCUAACACAUGCAAGUCGAACGAGUGGCGGACGGGUGAGUAAUGUCUGGGCAACUGCCUGAUGGAGGGGGAUAACUACUGGAAACGGUAGCUAAUACCGCAUACUAUCGGAUGUGCCCAGAUGGGAUUAGCUAGUAGGUGGGGUAACGGCUCACCUAGGCGACGAUCCCUAGCUGGUCUGAGAGGACGACCAGCCACACUGGAACUGAGACACGGUCCAGACUCCUACGGGAGGCAGCAGUGGGGAAUAUUGCACAAUGGGGGAAAGCCUGAUGCAGCCAUGCCGCGUGUAUGAAGAAGGCCUUCGGGUUGUAAAGUACUUUUAGCAGGGAAGCGUUACCUGCAGAAGAAGCACCGGCUAACUACGUGCCAGCCGCCGCGGUAAUUC